GGUUCUGUGUUCCGUAGAGCAGGCCCUGUCUUGCUGCUUCUUCUCUGUGGCUUGGCUCAAAGUCUAACAGUUUACAGAAACCCAAUCACUGUUGGUUGACUUGAAGACAGGAUCUCUGCCUACAAACUUUUCAUAGUUUAGGAGAAAAAUCCUAUUAAUCAUCCAAGGUUCAACCAAGAAGAGAGGUCACUCUAAGUAUUUAUAACAGAGGACUCUCAUUACCCAGGUUAUAGGAAGACUUUGAGGCCAGAGCACAGUGACAUUGGAGGGAGCCGCAACCCUCCCUGGGUUGAAGGAACUAAGGAGAAUGUGGCAGAAUUGGCCGGAAGCAGAAUUGCCUGUUUCCAGUGAGGCCCCCUUGCCCUCUUGGAAGCAAUUGCUGUGUAGGAAGUCUGAACACCUCACAGGAGAUGGAGGCCCGGCCAGUUCCUGCCUGCUGUAGCCGCCCAGCUGAAGGGGGUCCAGACACGAGUGAAGCCAUUGUGACCUCCAGCCUCAGCAGCCACCUCCACACUGCGCAGGGCAGAGCAACCACGCCACCGAGUGAGCCCCAUUUGCAGACUUUGAGCAAAUAAUGAUUGUGCACGUUGGA